rnacentral:rRNA from 1 species
CCUACGGGUGACAGCAGUGAGGAAUAUUGGUCAAUGGCCGGAAGGCUGAACCAGCCAUGCCGCGUGAAGGUCAGUGCCCUAUGGGCGUUAAACUUCUUUUGUGCGGGAGCAAUAAUGGUCACGUGUGGCCAGACGAGAGUACCGUACGAAUAAGCAUCGGCUAACUCUGGGCCAGCAGCCGCGGUAAUACGGGGGAUGCAAGCGUUAUCCGGAUUUAUUGGGUUAAAAGGGUGGGUAGGCUGGGAGGUAAGUCAGCGGUAAAAUGUCCGGGCUAAACCCGGGCCGGCCUUUGAAACUGGGGAUCUUGAGUGGGCGAGAAGUAUGCGGAAUGCGUGGUGUAGCGGUGAAAUGCAUAGAUAUCACGCAGAACUCCGAUUGCGAAGGCAGCAUACCGGCGGCCGACUGACGCUGAGGCACGAAAGCGUGGGGAUCGAACAGGAUUAGAUACCCCUGUAGUC